AGCGGCGGGCCUAACACAUGCAAGUCGAGCGAGAAAAGGGCUUCGGCUCUUAGUAAAGCGGCGGACGGGUGAGUAACACGUAGGUAAUCUUCCUUCGAGCGGGGGACAACGUUCCGAAAGGGACGCUAAUACCGCAUACGUUCUCCGGGACUCUGGUCCUGGAGAGGAAAGCUAGGUCAGCAAUGAUCCGGCACUCGAUGAGGAGCCUGCGUCGCAUCAGCUAGUUGGUGGGGUAACGGNCUACCAAGGCGAAGACGCGUAGCUGGUCUGAGAGGAUGAUCAGCCACACUGGGACUGAGACACGGCCCAGACUCCUACGGGAGGCAGNAGUGGGGAAUAUUGGACAAUGGGCGCAAGCCUGAUCCAGCCACGCCGCGUGAGUGAUGAAGGCCUUCGGGUCGUAAAGCUCUGUGGGGAGGGACGAACCGCCGUUGGUUAAUACCCAGCGGCAUGACGGUACCUCCUUAGCAAGCACCGGCUAACUUCGUGCCAGCAGCCGCGGUAAUACGAANGGUGCAAACGUUGCUCGGAAUUAUUGGGCGUA
rnacentral:rRNA from 1 species